UGCUCCACCGUGUUCUAGAAUUUUCUCAGUGGUGUCUUCACAGGAGUAGUUUGUUGUGAGGAGGAGAGAAGCUAGCAACGACCUAUGUUGCCGUCCUGGUGAUUUCAUUCGCUUUUCAAUUUCGCUUUUUCUGGAGUCGGUGUUUGGUUGCUCUGAACUUUUAGUUGUUUUCCUGAGUUCUGAAAUCAGAAGGACACCACCACUCAUUUCCUGUUUUGUGUAGAAUUUCAUGUGGUACUUGAUUCAUAUCAUUGGAAUCUCUGAAAACCCAAAUUCAAAAAUACGUGUCUUCUGAAGUAAUGAUCUGAUGUCGAAUGUGAACAAACUUGAUCUCUGAAUUCCUGACAGCCCUCUUUUACCAAGGUGAUUUUUUUCUAAAAGUUUUUGUUGCAUUUAAAAGUUUUAUGUUGGCAGCUCUCCUGCCUGCCUGUGACUGAGUCUUAACAUUCAGGAAACCAACUAGCUUUACCAUAUCCCAGGACUUCUUAAGGUCACACUGCAUUGUCUUGGCCUGGUUUGCUAGCCACGAGCUGUGGAGAGUGUCAUGUAUCUCCCCCUCUACUUGUGCACAAUAGACCAGGGGAUAAGCACACAAAAUCCAUCUUGUGUAACUUCACUGCAGCCUUUCCAGAUCAAUAAUCAUCUUCUUCAAUCCAUAUUCUCCAGAGCCUGGAGCCAUCAGUACAAGAUCUCAGGACCCCAGGAUUCGUAAAGAAUUGCCAUUAAAGCCAGUAUCACUGUUACUAAUGUAUGACCUUGAGAAAUCAGACCUGAGAAUGUUAAUACUCCGAUAUAUAAAAUAAUUAACCUGUGAGUUUGGGAAAAAUACUCAUGGAAUUCCAAAAAAAACCUUAUUGCCACUAUUCCUUUUCUAAAUCCAUAUCUUUCUGUGAAUUUCAUGUUUACCACUUCCUUUCCAAUAUUGUUUCUCUUAAAUGCUCCACUACAUGUAUUAACAUGCAGUACUUUUUCACACUUUGUCUCUGUUCCCUCUUCAUGGAAAGCCUUUCCCUAACUCAAAUACUGAAACAAUAUUUUUAGUCUUCCUAAUUCUUUCUUUGGUGGCAUUUAUUUUUAUUUAAACAAUAUUUGCUUCCCCCUACUCCCUCAGAUUGAGUCCCCAUAGAAUUUUUUUGCCAAGGUACCUGUGCACCAUCACCCCUGUGCUCCUCCCUACCUCUGAUCCCUUUCCCUCCUCCUCGCCUGCAGUAUGUCUGAUUUAUAAUUGUCUGUUUUUGCUUUGUUGUGUUUUGUACUGUUAUUUUUUUACACUGAGUCUUAUUUGGUUCCCCUAUAUUCCUGCUAUAAGUGAAGCCAUCAAUAUUUUUCUUUUUCCUUCUGGCUUAUUUCACUGAGCAUCAUUCCUUCUAGCUCUGUCCAUGUUGCUGUGAAUGGCAUGAGUUUAUCUUUUUUGAUUGCUGGAUAAUAUUCCAUUGUGUAUAUAUACCACAUCUUGAUCCAGUCAUCUAUUUUUGGGCAUUUAAUACUUUCUUGAAAAUCCUUCAAGUGUCCCUGGUGUUGGGGACACUUGAACUGUGAAUAUUCUGUCAGUUCAUUCUGAGGCUUCUUUGAAGACUCCAU